CUGAAUUUAAUUGCCUGCAAUCCUUGUCCAGGAAUGCAUUACCGCUGAACUGAGAGAGCUGCCGAGAAGAGAAGAUGGAUGGUUUCUGUGAGGAUUUCAUCUAUCUAAUUAUUUCUCCCUGAUGACAUAGCUACUCCAGAUUUUUCAUCUUACUCUAAUCACAGCCAACAAGAUGGAGAUUUACAGUUGGCAGAAGCUGUUCAUGUGAAUUAUAUCAGAUACAGAAACAUUCACUGUGAAUUAUUCUAAAGCCAGUGCUUUUGUUCAUCCAAGAAACCAGAAGACUGAAACUCGGAAGGGCAUCAAUGAAGGGAUUAGGAAAGAUCAUCAAGUAUAAGGACAUGUCACUGGAACCAAAGCCAAGAUUAUCCACACUUUUGUAUUCUUGACCACCAUGUAUGGGCAUAAAAGCUGAACAGUAAAGGAAGCUAACGGGAAAAAUGAUUCAUUUGAAAUAUGGUCUUGGAGGAGAUCUUUGUGGAUAGCCUAGGCUGCCAAAAAGAUG